UGGGGAAUUUUGGACAAUGGGCGCAAGCCUGAUCCAGCCAUGCCGCGUGCGGGAAGAAGGCCUUCGGGUUGUAAACCGCUUUUGUCAGGGAAGAAAUCUUCUGAGUUAAUACCUCGGGAGGAUGACGGUACCUGAAGAAUAAGCACCGGCUAACUACGUGCCAGCAGCCGCGGUAAUACGUAGGGUGCAAGCGUUAAUCGGAAUUACUGGGCGUAAAGCGUGCGCAGGCGGUUUUGUAAGACAGAGGUGAAAUCCCCGGGCUCAACCUGGGAACUGCCUUUGUGACUGCAAGGCUUGAGUGCGGCAGAGGGGGAUGGAAUUCCGCGUGUAGCAGUGAAAUGCGUAGAUAUGCGGAGGAACACCGAUGGCGAAGGCAAUCCCCUGGGCCUGCACUGACGCUCAUGCACGAAAGCGUGGGGAGCAAACAGGAUUAGAUAGCCCUGGUAGUCCACGCCCUAAAACGAUGUCAACUGGUUGUUGGGAAGGUUCCUUCUCAGUAACGUAGCUAACGCGUGAAGUUGACCGCCUGGGGAGUACGGCCGCAAGGUU
rnacentral:rRNA from 1 species